CUACAGGGGUUUCUAAUCCUGUUUGCUCCCCACGCUUUCGCACCUCAGCGUCAGUGUCGAGCCAGUGAGCCGCCUUCGCCACUGGUGUUCCUCCGAAUAUCUACGAAUUUCACCUCUACACUCGGAAUUCCACUCACCUCUCUCGAACUCAAGACCAGCAGUCUUGAAGGCCAUUCCGAGGUUGAGCCCCGGGAUUUCACCCCCAACUUGCCAAUCCGCCUACGCGCGCUUUACGCCCAGUCAUUCCGAACAACGCUAGCCCCCUCCGUAUUACCGCGGCUGCUGGCAC
rnacentral:rRNA from 1 species